AACGAACGCUGGCGGCAGGCCUAACACAUGCAAGUCGAACGCUCCGCAAGGGGAGUGGCGCACGGGUGAGUAACGCGUGGGAAUAUGCCCUUCGGUUCGGAAUAACACAGGGAAACUUGUGCUAAUACAGGAUAGGAUCUACGGAUGAAAGAUUUAUCGCCGAGGGAGUAGCCCGCGUAGGAUUAGCUAGUUGGUGAGGUAAUGGCUCACCAAGGCGACGAUCCUUAGCUGGUCUGAGAGGAUGAUCAGCCACACAGGGACUGGGACACGGCCCAGACUCCUACGGGAGGCAGCAGUGGGGAAUAUUGGACAAUGGGCGAAAGCCUGAUCCAGCCAUGCCGCGUGAGUGAUGAAGGCCUUAGGGUUGUAAAGCUCUUUCGCCAGGGAAGAUAAUGACGGUACCUGGAAAAGAAGCCUCGGCUAACUCCGUGCCAGCCGCCGCGGUAA
rnacentral:rRNA from 1 species